UACAGAGGUGGCAAGCGUUGUUCGGAAUUACUGGGCGUAAAGGGCGCGUAGGCGGUUUUGCAAGUCUGGUGUGAAAUCCCUCGGCUCAACUGAGGAACUGCACGGGAUACUGGAAGACUUGAGUUCGGGAGAGGGAAGCGGAAUUCCGGGUGUAGCGGUGAAAUGCGUAGAUAUCCGGAGGAACACCGGUGGCGAAGGCGGCUUCCUGGACCGAUUACUGACGCUGAGGCGCGAAAGCUAGGGGAGCAAACGGG
rnacentral:rRNA from 1 species